rnacentral:lncRNA from 1 species
UUUGUCUCAGGGUGGACUUCCCAGGGAACCCAACCUACGUCACAUCUGUUCACAAUUUGCUAUGCAAGUAAGAGUUAUGUCCUGCGGAAAGAGACUAAGUUACUGAGGAACUGUGGAAGUCAGUGUCAUAUAAAAUAUCAGAAUCGCAUCAAAGGACACAUAGGAUUCAAGACAUCAUAUCACAACUGUUUCGAGGCCUAGUGAGAUGGGAAUUAGAGAUAGAGUACUGGUUGCCAAGUUCAUCCGAAGUACACCUGCAAGUAAUAAUUGGAUCCACCUUGAACUCUUUAAUAGGCAAAUCCCAACUUUAGCUGAAGCUGUUUAUAAGAUGCCAACCUUUCCUGAGCAACUAAAUUUUAACACCACCCUCUCAGGCUGUGUGUCUAAAUGAAGAUCCAGGAUUACAUUUUAAUAGGGGGAAGACAUAUACAGGCUUUGGAAGAUAAGUAUACUAUGUGAAAUCUUCUGGGAGAAUGGAAAUGUAAAUAUAGCAGAGAAGUGUUGUGGAAAUUCUGACCAGCAGAGGGCUCCUUUUAAUAUUAAUAGUUAUUAAUUUAAAGACAAACUGGCAGAGACUUGAGGAAAGCAAAGGUUGAAGAGGAUCCACUCUGGAGGAGGAUGUCCAAGCCAUGAGAAUAAUCUACUGUGAGACUAAGAAUAUUGAAAGGAAAGAGAGGCAGGUUCUGCUUCCUACUUUGACUACAAAGUACAUCCAAAAUCACCUUCAGCUCUUAUUAGAACCUGGGCCUGAAGUUAUGAGGGACUAAAGUGAGGAUCAGAACCCAGAACCUAUGGUGUAUAGAGGUCUUCCUUCAAAGAAACACUGGCCUUCAUUUGAGGAACACAGCCAGGCUGAGGGGACCCCACAGGGGUUAAGUAAAAGAUAUCAUAUGGAUUGACUAACACUGAAGAGUCAAGAAUUUUUAAGGAAGCUUCUGCAGCUUUUGGAGUGUGAAUGUAACAGGUUGGGCUCCUCCUCGAGCAAACCCUGACAGAAAUCUACCUAGCCUAAGGCUGCAAAGAUAUUCUCCUAUGGUUACGUCCAGAAGUUUUACAGUUUUAUGUCCAUGUGUAUGAUCAAUUUCAAGUUAUUUUUUUACAGUGCAAGGCACGUGGGGAGUUUGUAUCUCCCCAUACCUGAAUUUUUAACUGAACAUAUGGGUUGCUCUAGCUGAAGAAAUGUGUGUAGAACAUGAUGUGUCAUUUCCAGGCUCAAUCACCAUCCUCUCUCUGUCCCUGUGCCAUUGCCUCAGUCCCAGAAUGAGGAGAGUCUCUAGCUCUCUCAUGUAGCAGUAGCAAGAAAUAUAUCUUGAUGAUAUAAGUUACUAAUAAUCUUUUAAUGGCAAAAUAAUCUAUAUAAUAUCAUCUAUCUUGAUUACUACAGAAAUGUAUACCUAGAAAUGUGGUACUUCCAUUAAAAAAACCUUAAAAUAAAGACUGGGAAGUGGGUGGUGAGGAAACUAUUAUCAGAGAUUACAAGAAUGGUGAUCUAUGUGAUGCAACAUGUAAUCAUUUGAUAAAAUUGUUGACAGAGAUAAUCUGGAAGCCAAAUUACAUACCUUGUGAAUUUGUAAAUCAAGAAAUAAAGAUUGCAAAA